rnacentral:lncRNA from 1 species
UGGAGGCGGCAUAGGGCGGCGCUGGGUGGGGGAGGGAGAGUUAGGGUUUGGAAAGGGGGAAAGGACGAUUUGGGGGGGAGUGAUUUUCUUUUUAUUUUUUUAUUCUUUUUCCACAUGUAUUUUUAUUUCAAUUUUUUUAGAUUUUUUUGCCACAUGUCAAAAAUGAGCCAAGUGGAGAAUUUCGGCUGUCAACUCAUCAAUUCCGGCAGCCACAGUGGCAUUUCCGGCGCCGGCGUAAGAAAAAACCGAUCGCCGGACAAAUUUGAAACAAAAACUAAAGGUUAGGUAUUUAAAAGAAG